rnacentral:rRNA from 1 species
UGGGGAAUAUUGGACAAUGGGCGAAAGCCUGAUCCAGCCAUGCCGCGUGAGUGAUGAAGGCCCUAGGGUUGUAAAGCUCUUUCAACGGUGAAGAUAAUGACGGUAACCGUAGAAGAAGCCCCGGCUAACUUCGUGCCAGCAGCCGCGGUAAUACGAAGGGGGCUAGCGUUGUUCGGAAUUACUGGGCGUAAAGCGCACGUAGGCGGAUACUUAAGUUAGGGGUGAAAUCCCGGGGCUCAACCCCGGAACUGCCUUUAAUACUGGCGAUCUUGAGUCCGGAAGAGGUGAGUGGAACUCCUAGUGUAGAGGUGGAAUUCGUAGAUAUUAGGAAGAACACCAGUGGCGAAGGCGGCUCACUGGUCCGGUACUGACGCUGAGGUGCGAAAGCGUGGGGAGCAAACA